rnacentral:rRNA from 1 species
UACGAAGGGGGCUAGCGUUGCUCGGAAUCACUGGGCGUAAAGGGUGCGUAGGCGGGUUUAUUACGAGGGGUGAAAUCCUGGAGCUCAACUCCAGAACUGCCUUUGAUACUGAAGAUCUUGAGUUCGGGAGAGGUGAGUGGAACUGCGAGUGUAGAGGUGAAAUUCGUAGAUAUUCGCAAGAACACCAGUGGCGAAGGCGGCUCACUGGCCCGAUACUGACGCUGAGGCACGAAAGCGUGGGGGGGCAAACAGG